UGAUCUUGUUACAGGCAGACAGAAUUGUCUGUCCUGGAAGUCGGAGUAGACCAAGAGUCAACUGGACUACAAAGUUACUAUUUCCAGACACACAAAAAGGUUGGGGAAACAUCCAACUUCAUUGUUUCCCAGGAGGACUGGAUGGCCAUUAACCUUUCUUUCUCCAGCUCUGCGCAGGCGCAAGGGCCCUACCAAGACCAAAGAGUCAGGAUCCUCUGUAGUUCCUCAAGAUCCCUUGAACUGGUUUGGAAUCUUGGUUCCUCAUAGUCUGCGGCAGGCCCAAGCCAGCUUCCGGGAUGGCCUACAGCUGGCUGCAGAUAUAGCCAGCCUCCAGACUCGCAUCAACUGGGGUCUAAGUCAGCUCCGAGGCCUCCAGAGAAAACUGAAGGAGUUGGACCCUGGGCCCGCCUGACCUGCAUCUACUUUUCGAGGCAUUGAGCAUAGCUGAUGUGGAUGCUACUGCCUUGUCUUAGGCCUUCUUUCAUAAACAGCCCCUGUCUUAGCUGAUGCCCCUCCUAGAUAUGUCCUUAGCCUGCACUGUUUCCAACUUUUCGAGGCCUGAGGUUGAGUUAUGAAGUUUGAUGAAGCAAGCUACACAGUGUUGAGAGCAACU
rnacentral:lncRNA from 1 species